AAAUUGAAGAGUUUGAUCAUGGCUCAGAUUGAACGCUGGCGGCAGGCCUAACACAUGCAAGUCGAACGGUAACAGGGAUCAGCUUGCUGAUUCGCUGACGAGUGGCGGACGGGUGAGUAAUGUCUGGGAAACUGCCUGAUGGAGGGGGAUAACUACUGGAAACGGUAGCUAAUACCGCAUAACGUCGCAAGACCAAAGAGGGGGACCUUCGGGCCUCUUGCCAUCGGAUGUGCCCAGAUGGGAUUAGCUAGUAGGUGGGGUAACGGCUCACCUAGGCGACGAUCCCUAGCUGGUCUGAGAGGAUGACCAG
rnacentral:rRNA from 1 species